rnacentral:rRNA from 1 species
UUGAACGCUGGCGGCAUGCUUUACACAUGCAAGUCGAACGGUAACAGGUUAAGCUGACGAGUGGCGAACGGGUGAGUAAUAUAUCGGAACGUACCUUUCAGUGGGGGAUAACGUAGCGAAAGUUACGCUAAUACCGCAUAUUCUGUGAGCAGGAAAGCAGGGGAUCGCAAGACCUUGCGCUGAUUGAGCGGCCGAUAUCAGAUUAGCUAGUUGGUGAGGUAAAGGCUCACCAAGGCGACGAUCUGUAGCGGGUCUGAGAGGAUGAUCCGCCACACUGGAACUGGGACACGGUCCAGACUCCUACGGGAGGCAGCAGUGGGGAAUUUUGGACAAUGGGGGCAACCCUGAUCCAGCCAUGCCGCGUGAGUGAAGAAGGCCUUCGGGUUGUAAAGCUCUUUCAGCCGGGAAGAAAACGCAUGGGUUAAUACCCUGUGUGGAUGACGGUACCGGAAUAAGAAGCACCGGCUAACUACGU